GCCCGGGUAGCUCAGUGGUAGAGCAGCUCACUCGUAAUGAGCAGGUCGUCGGUUCAAUCCCGACCUCGGGCU
rnacentral:tRNA from 1 species